CGGCCCAAUGGGCGCGCGGAGGAGGCGUCGGACUGGGGGCUUAGCGCAAGGAGGCGUCAAUCAGGCAGCCGCGGGGCUGGAGGGAGCUCGUCCUGGUACCGCCUCUAUCUUUGGGAGAAAGAGGGAGAGAGAGGGAGAGGAGAGGAGAGGGCAGGAGAGGAGAGGACAGGAGAGGAGAAGCCGGGCGGGGAGACUGGGCCAAGGGCCGGGACACAUGGAUUAGCCAGGCGCCCUCUCGGGCCGGUGUCCGCCAGCCGCACCAUGGGCAAACUUCACUCCAAACACGCUGCCGUGUGUAAGCGCAGGGAGAGCCCCGAAGGUGACAGCUUCGCAGUGACGCCCCUGGCUAGGAAGGGAUCG